UGAUUUCAGAGACUUCCAACUGCCUUAACGUAUCCACCUUGUGAAUUGAUUAUUGCGGACACUGACUAAGGCGCUUGAAUGAGUGGAAUAAUAACAGUAGUCUCGAGCGCCUGCCCUACCUUUCCGGAUAGGAGAGAACAUGGAUAGAGGUCCAGGUAUUUUGUUUCACAUCGUGACAUGAGUCGAAGACAUUAGUUAUCCGCCAUCGUCCGGAUCAGCUUGGGUCGACACACAAAAAACGAGAAGAGUUGAGAGCCUCUGUCGAAUUGAUAUCGCAUGGCUGCCAAGAGCCUCAUCAGAGAGCUCUUGCGUCAGUGAUUGAAAAGACCAUCAAUGGCAGCCAAGGUCGUGGUCGUGUUUACAUUCGGCUUUCCUUUUUUUUUUUCACGUUAUCUUUUUCUCAUUUCUGUAUUCAUUAGAUGGCGUUGCAGGCCAUCUUUUAUUUAAAAGGCGCAAACUGUUGAUCCAUCCGGACUGAUAGCAACAACUCAACAUUUCUUUUCUUUCGACAACAACAAAAGAAAAUUUAUUCCGUAUUUAUUUAAAGAAUAAAGAAAAGCGUAGACGAAGAUGAAAAGAUUUUUAUAUUUUUCAAAGCGCGACGUGGCGCAACACGGCACCGAGUUGUUUAGUUUGUUGUAGAUCCAUUGUGGGAAAGUUCUCCCUUUAGUGUUACGCGUUCCUCUUCUUGCUUCUUUGGCCGGCUGGUUUGUUCGAUUCUUCUUCUAAAUGUUUUAUCAAGUGGGAGGAGAAGAGCUGCACGGAAAUGUAGGAAAAUACGAACCGAAAUGACGAUGAGCAUGAAAGUUUCAAGUGUCUUGUGUAUAGACGGAUAAAAGGCGAGAGGGAGAUAGAAAAUGUUGGCACGCUUAAUCCGGAACGGUUCGUUAGUUUCCAAUAAGUUAUUCGUUGUUGAAAGCCCUGCAUUAGUGAGCCACGAAAAAUGGCCUUUAGUUAUACAAAAGGAUCGAGGAAAAAGAGGGACGCUAUUCUUGUAUGCAAAUAAUUGAACAUAGGGCAACAGUUUCAUCCUUAUCCACAUCGUAUCCCUUUUUUUUUUCGUCUUACUAGUUUGUUUCCAAAAGGCCAGCAGCAGUAGAUUCCCUUUGUCUUGUGUGUCUAUACUUGUUGGGCGCUUAAGUCUUCUUCUUGUGUGUGUACAUUACCUGUCUACCCAUAGUCGAUGCUAUUCCACUAACACAAGAAUGGAUCUCUAAAUCUCUCCGCGGGGUUUUUUAAACAUACAAAAAAGAAAAAUAAAGGCUGGGAUAGACUUUCUGCUUAUGCGAUACAUUCGUCGGAGCUGAGAUGUGGGCGCGCCGACGUUCCUACCGCUGCUGCGCUCCUGCCGAGUUCGUGGUAGAUGGUCGAUGGGGGUUUACCCGCUGCCGCUAUGGCGGUAUAUGGACAGCAGCCAGCAGGGGGAAUAUGAGAGACGUGAAUGGGCAGUUUUUUUUUUAUCUUUCUCUCAAAAAUGCAUGGAAAAAAGAGGUAAAAAAUAAAAAAAAAGGGAAACUUGUGAGAGGAAAAGAGAUAAUAUUCAUAUUGUUAGACACAUAUUUUCUUUGUUACCAAUUUCUUCAAAACGAAAAUUGUUAAACCUGAAAAAGUUCUAGGCCAACCAUCCAGUAUUGAAUGUCUCACCUCCCGACAAACUAAUGCCAACCCCUUUUUUUAAAUCGUUAUUAUUUGUCUCCUUUUUUUUUCUUAAAAAGAGAAAUGAUUGAUCGAGAUGCGCGUAGAGGGUGAAUCAGCAGAGUUGCAGGAGAUACGAUCCCAUCACAUGUGGCGACCUUUUCGUGUGACAUGGCCAAAAGCUACGAUUACUCUUUUUUCUAUUUCUAUUUUUUUUCUCCUCUUCUAAAAAAGAAUGGGAUGUACCGUCGAAGCAUCACCUGACAGUCCACAAGGGGAAGGAAGAAGAAAAAGGUGAGGGCGAGAAAAGCGGACCCUUAUCGGCUAUCAAUAUCAAUUUACUCGUAUAGCUGCUGUAGUCACGGAGAGUCUCGCCCUUUUUAAAAACACACGCUUGUCCUCCCAAGAGUUUUUCUUUUGUCGUUAGUGAUGAAAAUGGGUAAACUUGGAUUGUUUACCAUUGGGGAGUUUUAAGAAGAAGAAGAAAAAGAAAAAUACCGGUGCAUACUCCCGACUUAUUUCAGCCACUCAAAUGAAACGUUUUUCGAAAGUUGAAAUGUUUUGGCUGUAAAUGCGAAUCGUGACCUUUGUAUCUGACGUUGACAUAUUCAACGGUUAUGUAUACAACAACCAAGAAUUUUGGUUGUUGCGUAGGGUAAAGGAUUUUCCCACUUUAGGCUAAUGGAAAGGGAGUUAAAUUUAAGUCCGCCACACCUGUGGAUUUGUUUUGUAUUUUUGAAUUUGCGUACCCCACCUCUCUUCUUAAACUUUUAUGAAAAUCGUUUUUUUUUUUUCGGUUGACAUAUCGCACCUGGUAAAUAAUCUGCAAACAGUUUUGUUUCCUACCCCUCCCUAAUCGUUUUCCACGAUUUUGAAGGUGUUUUCUUUGAUUUCUUACCUUACCCUUUUUUUUUGAAACGUUAUUCAUUUGAUGAAUUUCGUCGUUCGCACCAUUACCAAUUACUGGGAUCGUACACCUAUCGACAAUCAGGUAAAAACCGAUUAAACAUUAGUCAGAUACACUUAAAUAAUGAAUGUUAGGUAGGCAAUCAUUUUUUAUUGUACGUGUGUGCAGCACUUGGUACAUUUAUUCUUCCUAUUUCUUCAGCCGACAACGACCAAAAAAUAAGUUUCCUUUUUUCGAAAGACAGGGACGACAUUUUGAUAUUUGAGACUAUGAAAUAUGUUUCGUCUUUUCUAAACAACAAGGCCCACAUAGCAAAAGGGUUUCGUAAAAAAGAAAAAAAAAAACAGCCUUUUUCCAUUUUUUUCCCCCCUUUUUUUCCUUCCACAUUUUUCUGACGGCUUCCAUCCCCCCCACCCCCUAAAAAUAGAUGCUUUACAGCUAGACCUAGCUCUCUUCCACUUUAGUAGACACAUAUCUGUAUACUAUACGAGCUCCGAUGAUGGGUGCCCCUCUUCAAAACGUCACAUGUAAUGCCCGUCCACCGGUUGGCCGUCACAGAUUCAACAAGCUUGAAGAGUGCGAAGAAAGAAAGACUGUAAACGCGUUAUUAAGUGUACGCGUCUGCGGUGCGUGUUUCGUGUUACCGAUGGAGUGGGUAGAGACUGCGUGUGUAACAUGUGUUUGAUGUUGUAGUUUAUUGUACGGCGUGGUGUUGUCUAGCCAAAAAAAGAAAAAAUCGGAUUUUUCCCGACACGUUUCCGUUUCGUGUGUGCUCCAUCCAUUUUGUUGGCUAGUUGCCCUCCAUCUAUCACUCUUCUAACGUAACAGCAAACUAACGCGUGGAACUCUUAUUCAAUGGGGACUUGUUGCUAUAGAUGCAGAAAAAUGUUUUGUUUGACUUUUCAGUCCUGCAACUCGAAUUUUUUUCGAAAUGUUCCGCUUUUUUGUUUUGUUGUGUGUUCAUUUUGAAAAUCGGCUCAUGAUGAAUGAAUGCUGUUUACAAACAUGCCCAUUUGAUAUCUGUUGCGAGUCGAUCCUAUAUACAGUCUGGAUGUACUACCCCUUUCAAGUUAUGCUAAACAUUCCCAUCCGGAUGGCCCAGCAAUGUGGUUGUUCUUCUAAUUCAUUUCCGGCAGAAGAUAUAAUAAGAGCUGCAUAAGGGAACGAUUCGUUGCGUGAUACGGUGGCUAGGACCCCCCUUCAGUUGAGGCAAUUUACGCAGAAAACAUUUUCCGUCGUGAUUGCCGAACCUCAGAAACGAGAUGCGCAUAUAGUCGGCUCUCAGAUCGUUUCCAGUUUCUUAGAACAAGGCGCCUCGGGUAUAACUGAACGCCCUGAAACAAGUUUACAUGUGUGUCUGCAUGGCUGGUUGUGUGUACCCUUUGACCUGUUCUGUCACAUCCGCAAAGAAACACCAUACAAACAAAAGAAAAAAUUUAAUUCAAAUUGUAAUGUGUUGUUGUACUAAAAAUCGAAAUGCGUUUGCGUGAGACGUUAACAAAGAAAAUGAAUCCGUUGGAUGCCUUUUUUCUCAUUUGCAAUUUUGUCAUAGUUCAAAACCAUCUAGAUCCGUUCGAAGAUAAAACUCUACUCGACAUGCUACAACCAUCAUCAUCUUCUUCCAUCUUUUUUUUCCCCCUCGUCUUGCGUCUUGUUGGCCUAUUGGUUGCUACUGCUUUACUUUGCCCUUCCUGUUUUCCCCUUCAAGUUGUAAUGGUAACAUCAUUAAUCUCCAAACGACUUUGAAAAGACAGAUUUACGAGUCUAUAGAAAAGAGAAAUUUUUCUCCACCAAAAAAUACUAUAGAUCAUUUCCUAUGUGGGCGACACCUAAUCAGCCAAGACUGGCACGAUAUUGUACACACGACAAUGAUUCCAGUAGGUAAAACAGCCAUCACACAGGGCUGGACAAAAACAGCCAAUGAAAUUAAUACACUGCA